rnacentral:rRNA from 1 species
UACAGAGAGUGCAAGCGUUAAUCGGAAUUAUUGGGCGUAAAGGGUGUGUAGGUUGUUAAGAAAGUUAGAUGUGAAAUCCCUGGGCUUAACCUAGGAAUUGCAUUUAAUACUUUUUAUCUAGAGUAUUGUAGGGGGAAGUGGAAUUUCCGGUGUAGCGGUGAAAUGCGUAGAUAUCGGAAGGAACACCAGUGGCGAAGGCGACUUCCUGGACAAAUACUGACACUGAGACACGAAAGCGUGGGGAGCAAACAGG